GACGGAGGAUGCAAGCGUUAUCCGGAAUGAUUGGGCGUAAAGCGCGUGUAGGCGGCUUGGCAAGUCGGGUGUGAAAGCCCUGGGCUCAACCUAGGAAGUGCACUCGAAACUGCUUCGCUUGAGUGUCGGAGAGGAAGGCGGAAUUCUCGGUGUAGAGGUGAAAUUCGUAGAUAUCGAGAGGAACACCGGUGGCGAAGGCGGCUUUCUGGACGAUAACUGACGCUGAGACGCGAAAGCGUGGGGAGCAAACAGG
rnacentral:rRNA from 1 species